AUGAGUCAUAACCCAGAAAAAGCUCUGCUGAGAAUACAGCUCACACUCUUCUGCAGUGUAGCCCAGGACAGUCCUAGUGAACUCUGUGGGACCUCCCUAGCAAAGAGCUGGGCACAGAAUGAGGGAACAAGAAGGUCUGGUGUUCUCCCUGAAGUCUGCAGUUCCAGCACAUGUUUAAAGGCAGCCUUCCUGCUCACAGUGGGAGUCAGGCUGCUCAGUGCUGAGUCUGGAAUGAAGUUCUCGCAGAGGAUCCCUGGAGUGGUUGCUGCUGGAUGUGGACGACUGCACACAUCCAGGGUGCUCUGAAUGUGCCAAGCUGGGGAUGGCAGCAAGCACUGAUCUGGGUACCUCUCCACAUCUGUCUCACCCGGACACUGAAGACAGUGGCCCCUGUUUGGGGCUGCUGAAGUGCCAACCGUAUGUGGCCCUGUAUGUCCCACAGAGAGUGAGCAAGCUCUGGUUGUCCUUGGGGAUGCCCUCUUAGGCUGAAUUUCUACAUUGGUCCUUCAUUUCACAUGCUGGCCUCCUCCUGGCCUUCAUCAGACUGUACAAGCAGACUCUGAGUAGUUGAAAGAGAUUCCACUAUUUGAGUAGUUUAUCAGUGCUUUCUAUGUUUAAUGUGAUUCUAUUCCCAGGAGAAUGGAGUAUGGGACACACUGGGCAUUACUGUUUAGAUACUACACUAAAAAUAGUGUCUGUGGCUACACAGGGAUGAUUCCUGUCCCAUUUCUAAUUGCAUCCACUCUCUGAACAUGGCAUAAUCUCCUUUACUAUAAUAUGUGUGGGAAAAAAAAAAUCUUAGUAGCAUUUUUGUUCAGACCACCUAUGAUAAACACUCCUUUUUCCUCAGCCUAUUGUGCUUUUAACUUUUACUGAACCUAUAUUUUGUACCUAGUUUCUUCAUGCUUUGUACUAUUGAGAUCCAAGAAUUUUUUUUUUUGCAAAUGGUAACAAAAAAAGCAUGCAAAGACUAGAAACAGGCAUGCAGUAAAGAGAGUUUAAAAACAUAUAUUUUCCUCUGUGUGUAUUUAGCAGUUUCCAUCCUUGCCAUAUGUUCUUUUCCUCAUCAUUUUGCCUUUUAGAUUGUUCUUUAACACUUGCCUGUUUUCUUGCUUCUACAACAGAAGGGGAAUUGAUCUUUCAUUUGUUCUGCAAAUAUUCCUUAUUGUCCCAGGUUUUAUUACCCCAUCUGUUAUUGAGUGAAAGUCUCUUGUGGUCUCAUUUUUCCAGCUGAUCACACUAUACCACAGACUAUAUUUCAAUGUAAUCGCUAUCUACUGUAUGAUGUGUAAAUGAGAGAGAGAGA
rnacentral:lncRNA from 1 species